rnacentral:rRNA from 1 species
UUCGGACUGAGUGGCGCACGGGUGAGUAACACGUAACUGACCUACCCCCAAGUUGCGAAUAACCAGCCGAAAGGAUGGCUAAUACGUGAUGUGAUGAUCCGCUGUGGCGGAUCAUUAAAGACUUGAUCGCUUGGGGAUGGGGUUGCGUUCCAUCAGCUAGUUGGUAAGGUAAAGGCUUACCAAGGCAACGACGGAUAGCCGGCCUGAGAGGGUGGCCGGCCACAGGGGCACUGAGACACGGGUCCCACUCC